rnacentral:lncRNA from 1 species
AUAAAAGUCUCAUGACCAAAGGUGAUGGAGCCUCUUCUAUGCUUGCAAAAAAAGAAACAGUACCAGUAUACAAAUGAGAGUAGUAUGUUAGCAUAGACAACACCAAAGAGCACAAUGUAAUAUCAGGAUCAUAAAACAAAUAACAUUUUUUGAAAAGAGAGAAACAAUAACAUACAAUAUGUUUAUUUUAUCUUUCCCUCUGAUCACGACAAGCAGGUACUAAUAGCGUGUUUGGUCUGAUGGUUUGGCUCAUCCAUCGUGGUCUGGCUCCGGAUGGAGCGGUCCUGCACUUUAUUGCGGAGUGAGCUGAUCUCACAUGUUAGUUUGUUAUUAGAACAACGCAGUGACGAACGACAUCGUUCCGCGAUUCAAACCAAAUGAUGAUGUAGGCUCGGACGCAGGUCUGAAUGACUUCGGAAGCCGCCCAACCU